GAAAACCCAGCUUAUCAAGAAAACCGAGAAACCCAUCUAAUCACCGUUGAUCUUAUAAUCAUGAUCUAAUCAGUAUUUUAUAAAAAAAAGCAAUUAAAUCUAGUUAAUAAGGGGUAGUUUAGGAAUAGACAUUUACCCGUAUUCAAUCAAAGAUGUAUUCCAUAUUUAGAGAGAUUUUUUAUUUUUGUUAAAUAUUUCUAGAUUAAAUCAGACAUAUAAAUAAUAUGAACAGAUUAGUACGUUUCAUGUUUCUAUCUUCAGUUAAAAGCUUAACAGCUUCCUCAGCCAUGGCAGACGAAGAACCUGACAUCACUCAAGGUUAGUAUUAUCAAUAUGUUAUUUAGUAGAAUAGUAGAAGGAAUAAGAGAAUAUAAAAGAAUUCCAAAGUAUGAUCAUCUCACUCAAGGUUAGUAUUAUCAAUAUGUUAUUUAGUAGAAUAGUAGAAGGAAUAGAAGAAUAUAAAAAAGUCUAAAGUAUGAUCAUCUCCUGAAUCUGCACAUACUAUGUUUUCCUCUCUCGUAGAAGUUUCUCUUACACGUUUCUCCCUUGAUUUUAUACAGUUAUUGAUAAUAGCAGGGAAACCAAUUAUCAACAAGUAGAAGAUUUUAUCAAGACCGUUCUCACAUGUGUUGCUGAUUAGGUUAAUACCCGAUGCUUGGGAUUUUAAACCUGACCAUUUCUUCGAACCCGCUGACAUCUUUCGUUCCCAAAUGAGAAAUUUCAAGUGGCUUUCAGCUUCAAGUAAAACUUCUUUUUUAAACAGAGAUUUUAAGAGGUGUUAUUAGUCGUAAUCUUGUUCCACAACUUAAGAUUAAUUUAAAAUACUCUCUUGUAUUCUGUUCACAACAGUAUUCUGUUAAAGAAUUUUAACAAUGACAAUGUAGCCGAGUAAUAAGUACCAUCACGAAUCAAGAUUGCUUCCUAUAAAUU
rnacentral:lncRNA from 1 species